AAGAUUUCAAAUCAGAAUAAAUUGAGAAAGAUGGAGAGAGAAACAAAGAUAUAGAGAGAUUUUGAAGGAUUAAGUUGUUUCUUCAUCAGAUUAUUUUGAUCUCAGGUUGAAGAUUAUCAUGUUGAUGUCUAAGAGACGGGUAAAAGAUCUUAUAGGUAGAAUCAUUAGUCACAUAUCCAUGACUCCAUUUGGAAGACGAAGAAAUCAACGCAUCAAAAUUGCUAGAGAGAAGUAAAGAAGGACUAUGAUGUGCACUGAGUGCUUUACUUGCACCUUCCUUGAUGAUUUACUACCAUUCUUGCUUACGACUUUGUACUUUUUUUCUCAUGUAAACUGUUACAAUGAAUGUUACUAUCUUAUUUAUUUUAA